rnacentral:tRNA from 1 species
AAAGUAUUUAGUUUAAAGUGAAACCUUCUAAUUUUUACUUAAGUGGUUAAAUUCCAUUUAUACUUU